AAAAGUGAUUCCGAACAAAUCAGACAGGAGCCGGGUUCCGCCGGUAACAGCCGUUUCCCCCGUUCUCCGGUGAGUCACUGUCCUAAUAAAUCUAGCAGCCAGGGAACCAUCGGCAGGAGGGCGGCCCCAGUUGCACGAACGCACGCACCCACCCCACGCACGCGGGCGGGUGAAAUCUAGGACGGAAUCCGUUCCAGUCCCCGUCGAUCACGCCCCGAGAGGCGGAAGAGCUUUCGUGGCGAGGAAUCCGCCGGAGGCUCCCCGAUUUGCAUGUCCGGGGCUCGCUGGAAUCGGAAUGCACUGGUGCCCCGGAAUCGGGCCGCGGGCGCGCUCCUUCCUGCGUGACUACGACGCGCUCCAGUCCCUCGCCCUCGCCCUCAUAUACCUCCAGAUUGGUUGUGCGCUGAUUGGAUCGCUUGGUGCGCUGUUCAAUGGGGUUCUUGUGAUAAACCUUGUGAUAGGGCUAUUUGCUGUUGUUGCGAUUGAAAGUAGUAGCCAAAGACUUGGCCGGACUUAUGCUGUCCUGCUCUUCUUUGCUAUCGUCCUUGACGUUGCAUGGUUUAUACUCUUCUCACAUGCUAUAUGGAAUAGUACCCCUGAUGAGAAGUAUGGUCAACUUUUUGUCUUCUCACUAAGACUUGCAUUGUGGAUGCAAACUAUUGGGUUUUCAGUGAGGUUUUUGUCUUCAUUUAUAUGGAUCCAGAUGUACAGGUUAGGGGUCUCAUCAAGCACGCCAACAUAUUAUGAAGCAAAUGAUGCAAGAAAUAGUUUCUUGAGCCCCAGAUCUAAUUCAGUUAGACGGGGUUCAAUGGCUGAUGAUAUAUUGGGUGGUUCAAUUUACGAUCCUUCUUACUACUCUUCUCUCUUCGAAGAUGUUCGAAAUAAUGCAUGCAAUCAUCAGAAAACUCGCAGCGCCAUGCAGUCCGGUACCUCCUCGUGCACCAGCGGUUUUUGCUAUGGCGUCUGCAUGUCCAUGUCGCGGCAAUGGAAGCACUACGUCGGGGCAACGCCUCCCUGCGAGCUCGCUCACACGCCACUCAAACUCGCCGUUGUCGCGCAAGGAGUUGAGCACGACAAGCCCGCCCACGAGCUUCUUGUUAAGGAAGAUCUGGGGCAUGUGGGUGGCGUUGCCGACCUUAGACGUGAGACUGGCAUUGCGCUUCGGGAACAUGCCGAGGCAAUGCUUGGUACCAAAAUCAGGAGAGGUCAACCUGCCAUAUGCAUGAAUAGGCAGGCCAGGAAAUCCUUGCACGGCGGUGUGCUCUUACCAAUCAGCGAGCUCCUUUCAUGCACGUCUGGAGACAUCUAGACUCACCCAUCAGGGUGAUAAACAAAGUGGUAGUAAUGAUAGCGGGUCAACAUCUGCAGGCCAAUCUCCACGGCUUAAAUCUUUUGGUGGAGGCUGGACUAAGAAAGCCGCUGAACUCUUGCUCAGUGGAGACAAGUUGAAGACGGAACUUAUUUUUGCCAACCUGACUACCCGAGCACUCUUUGUUUGGUCCUCCUUGAGCCAGUAACUCUUGAUUUAACAUAGAGAUUUGUACAGUGCAAAUGUUCAUGCCUCGGAACAGCGGCUCCCCAGUAAAUCAAGAGCAGCAAGAUAGUACAACGAUGAUGGCCUGUGUUGCUACGCAAUUCUUGAGCUUGUGCAGGAGUUUCGGUGCCAAUCUGGCAGCUCUUUUUUGCCUGGAGUACACUUUGAGUUGGAUUGUUUCACAGGGGCAGACGCUGACUAGUUGGCAACAUGUGGAAUACUGCUAGUAUUUUGCUGCCCAGUAUGGUCCAUUUUCCAGACGUGUAUGGCCUGUUUCUCUUGGUUGUCACGGAAAUGAGGCUGAUAGUUGCCUACUCCGCUAUAGUUAAAUCGGCCAUCCCCAACCGGAUCGUUCGGUUGGUGUUGUCAACAUCACUCACUUUUUUGACAAUGCACAUCUUUGGAGCAACUCCAACGCGC